rnacentral:rRNA from 1 species
UACAGAGGGGGCAAGCGUUGUUCGGAUUUACUGGGCGUAAAGGGCGCGUAGGCGGCCACGACAAGUCACUUGUGAAAUCUCCGGGCUUAACUCGGAACGGUCAAGUGAUACUGUCGGGCUAGAGUACAGAAGGGGCAACUGGAAUUCUCGGUGUAGCGGUGAAAUGCGUAGAUAUCGAGAGGAACACCUGCGGCGAAGGCGGGUUGCUGGGCUGAUACUGACGCUGAUGCGCGAAAGCCAGGGGAGCGAACGGG